UGGGGAAUUUUGCGCAAUGGACGAAAGUCUGACGCAGCGACGCCGCGUGGGGGAUGAAGGUCUUCGUGAUUGUAAACCCCUGUCAGGAAGGAUUAAAUGUACGGGCGUUAACACCGCCUGUACUUGACUUAACUUCCAGAGGAAGCCCCGGCUAACUACGUGCCAGCAGCCGCGGUAAUACGUAGGGGGCAAGCGUUACUCGGAUUUACUGGGCGUAAAGAGAGUUAAGGCGGCUGAGUAAGUCGGAGGUGAAAUCCCUCGGCCUAACCGAGGAACUGCCUUCGAUACUGCUUGGCUUGAGGACAGGAGAGGAAAGUGGAAUUCCCGGUGUAGCGGUGGAAUGCGUAGAUAUCGGGAGGAACACCAGAGGCGAAGGCGGCUUUCUGGACUGCUCCUGACGCUGAUACUCGAAAGCUAGGGGAGCAAACAGG
rnacentral:rRNA from 1 species